rnacentral:rRNA from 1 species
CUGGCGGCACGCCUAACACAUGCAAGUCGAGCGCACCUUCGGGUGAGCGGCGGACGGGUUAGUAACGCGUGGGAACAUACCCUUUUCUACGGAAUAGCCUCGGGAAACUGAGAGUAAUACCGUAUACGCCCUUCGGGGGAAAGAUUUAUCGGUGAAGGAUUGGCCCGCGUCUGAUUAGAUAGUUGGUGGGGUAAUGGCCUACCAAGUCUACGAUCAGUAGCUGGUUUGAGAGGAUGAUCAGCAACACUGGGACUGAGACACGGCCCAGACUCCUACGGGAGGCAGCAGUGGGGAAUCUUAGACAAUGGGCGCAAGCCUGAUCUAGCGAUGCCGCGUGAGUGAUGAAGGUCUUAGGAUCGUAAAGCUCUUUCGCCAGGGAUGAUAAUGACAGUACCUGGUAAAGAAACCCCGGCUAACUCCGUGCCAGCAGCCGCGGUAAUACGGAGGGGGUUAGCGUUGUUCGGAAUUACUGGGCGUAAAGCGCGCGUAGGCGGAUUAUUAAGUUAGAGGUGAAAUCCCGGGGCUCAACCCCGGAACUGCCUUUAAUACUGGUAAUCUAGAGUUCGAGAGAGGUGAGUGGAAUUCCGAGUGUAGAGGUGAAAUUCGUAGAUAUUCGGAGGAACACCAGUGGCGAA